UUCAUUUCUUUUGUCAACUUUUUUUUUCCCCCCAAAUGCUCCCGAAAGCAUCAGGAGUGGAAGCAGCAAUAUGAGAAUGGGAACACAAGAGGCUGAGGAGGGGAAGAAACAGCCUUGCUAUAAGGUGACCAGCCCACCACUCCAACCUCUGGCUCACAAGGUAUCCCAUGAGAUGUCAGAGAAGGAGAGAGGCCACUGCAAAGCCUGAUCUACCAGCAAAUAGUGAGCUUGGUGGGACAAAGACCUUAUGGGCUGAAGUCUGUGCUAUGGUUAUGUUGUUGCCUCCUACCUGGAGGUAGUCAGGCUGAGGAUGGUCCUGCUGUGGUUGAGCAGCAUCUUGAGUGACAACUGAGAGCCCAAAAAGUGGUUCAGGGCUGGCACAGAGCAGGGGAACCAGGGUGUCCAAAAGGUCUAAGACAGAAGGAGCUCUGAUGGUGAGAAAUCAGUGUUCUGGUCCCUGAAUCAGAGGUUGGCAGCCUCUUCUCAGGCUUUCUGUCCUCCUCAUAGCAGGUUAUGCCAGCCUUGCACUGCACUGGAUGGACUUAUCCCUUUCCUGGGUCCAGAGCAAACUAUACAGCCUUCCCCACAUGUCUUGUCUGUAAGGAGGCAUCCGCCCAUCUGGGUUAUUUAUGGAGGAGAGCUCUGGAGCCCUAUCAGAGCCCUGCUGACUGCAGAAGCAUUGCAGAUAGCUUUACCUUGUUGCAAGCACAAGUCUGGAAGGAGGCCUGGAGGUAACACUCACACCUUGCCAGCUCCUGGAAGCACAACCCAGGAAGAUAAACUCAGUUGCAAGAAGACGACUUGGCUGGAGAUGAGCUGUGCCUGCACCCAGAGCCUGUCAGGAUGGGCCCAUGCCACCAGCAGCAGCCCAUCUUUUAUUUCCCUGCAGCUCUCAGCAUGGCAGGAAUGGAGCAACUCCCCCUGCCAGCUCCACCUUGCUCUUUCCCAAGGCGAGGAGAUCCCGGCUCACUCCAGCAUUGGCACGGCCCAGCUCAGACACGGGGACAGCGUUGCUGAAACUGGAAGUGCUGGGGCCACGUACAGUGCCACAGUCCCAGAGGGAUUGGGCACAAGGGGUAUGUGUUACAGGGCUCAGUUUACUGCUGACCUAUUGACAUUUACGCUCGCACACAGCCAGCAAACCGCCCUCAGAUACCUGCCCAAAAAAAGACUGUGGCACUUGGCCCGUGCUGCUAAUCCCCAAACUUGAGGAGAAGUUCACACGCAGCGCUCACACCCACGUACCACCACUUCCCACCUGGCAAGCUGGGAAACCCCAUAUAAAUAAAGCUUAAUUGCUGCUCCUCCGACACAGCAUGUGCAGGCGAAACGCGUGGUAGCCGAACAAACAGCAAAGCCCUGGGAUUUCCUGACUCCCCCACAGACCAGACUCACCAGCCCAUGUUCAGCUGAAGUCAACAGGACCAUCACCUGCCUUACCUGCACACCUGGCACCUCAUGACCAAGUGUCUCCCUCUGCUAGGGAGGGGAAAGCAUUUGUAUAGUGAAGCUCAAUUUGCUUACUGCUUCUGCACUCCUGACUCUCGGUGGCACUAAAGGGGAAAAUUAAGCAAUGCGCUGAGGUGCCACUGCCAUCUCUGACUCUCUGCAGAGGGCACACAGCCCUGGCUGCAUCCCACCCCAGCCCACGGAGCAGAAGGCAGAGGUUCACGCUGUUCCCUGCACUAAAUUUGGACAGCUUCAUCAGCAUAUUUCAGCGGCGCCUUGAUGGAUGAAGAUAGAUGGGAGAACAUCAUCCUUGGUGAAAUCACUGUUUUAUCAAGGUUAAACCAUCCUCACGCUGCACCACCUCCCUUUGUUGCUUCAUUUCCAAUCGCAAAAUUAGCGGCAGACGUAACACGCGUUUGCGCGGACCCCAUUCCUCCCUCCCCUGCUCAGCUCUGUGGGAUGGGGAGGCAGAGGAAGCAUGGGGAGACCUCUCCAUCUUCAUGCCUAAGCCUGUCCAGCUCUGUGGGCUCUGAGGACCCAAUGAAACCCAAAAUCUACAUGGAUUUCAUGAAGUUGCCUCUGCAGCCGUGUCGUCCAUCAGCGCCUUCCAACAGCUCCCACAAAAGCCAAAGGAACACCAGCCCUUCUCCUUUCACCGUGGCACACCACAUCCACUGUCACGUUUCCGUGGGCUGAGAGCUAAAACCAUGGCAAGCAGAGGAUGAGGAAAGCAAGCAGGAGGCAGAUAUGGCGGCAGCAGCAACAUAUUCAAAUAGCUCAGCAGGAGAGCGGGGGACCAAACGCUUCGCUCCUGGAUUAAGAAAAUAAACUCCCAGGGUGUUGGCAUAGCAACAGCAUUUCAGAUGAACUGCUAUAUAUUCCGUGAUUAAUAAAUUAACAUUUUUUUCAUAUGGUUGUUUCUCCUUUUCUUUCCCUCCUUCCGAUGGCAGGAAGGAGGGGGGGGGGGCAGUGGGCAGCGGA